rnacentral:rRNA from 1 species
GAUGAACGCUAGCGGCAGGCUUAAUACAUGCAAGUCGUGGGGCAGCAGGACUGUAGCAAUACAGUUGCUGGCGACCGGCAAACGGGUGCGGAACACGUACGCAACUUACCCUGAACUGGGGGAUAGCCAGGGGAAACCCGGAUUAAUACCCCGUAAUAUAAUGGAGUGGCAUCACUUUAUUAUUAAAGCUCCGGCGGUUCGGGAUGGGCGUGCGGCUGAUUAGGUAGUUGGUUGAGGUAACGGCUCACCAAGCCUACGAUCAGUAACUGGUGUGAGAGCACGACCAGUCACACGGGCACUGAGCCACGGGCCCGACUCCUACGGGAGGCAGCAGUAAGGACUAUUGGGCACUGGAGGCAACUCUGACCCAGCCAUGCCGCGUGGAGGAUGCAGGCCCUCUGGGUUGUAAACUUCUUUUAUAGUGGACGACACCUGUGUAUUCUUACGCAGUUGACGGUACCCUAGGAAUAAGCACCGGCUAACUCCGU